CCUCGUUCCGAGGGGAGUCCCGAAGAGGGGCUGAGAUUCCGCAUAAUGCGGUAACCCUUUGAACCUGAUCCGGGUCAUGCCGGCGAAGGGACAGGGAUAUGCAGUCAA
rnacentral:ncRNA from 1 species